rnacentral:rRNA from 1 species
GACGAACGCUGGCGGCGUGCCUAAUACAUGCAAGUAGAACGCACAGUUUAUACCGUAGCUUGCUACACCAUAGACUGUGAGUUGCGAACGGGUGAGUAACGCGUAGGUAACCUGCCUGGUAGCGGGGGAUAACUAUUGGAAACGAUAGCUAAUACCGCAUAAUAUUAAUUAUUGCAUGAUAAUUAAUUGAAAGGUGCAAUUGCACCACUACCAGAUGGACCUGCGUUGUAUUAGCUAGUAGGUGAGGUAACGGCUCACCUAGGCGACGAUACAUAGCCGACCUGAGAGGGUGAUCGGCCACACUGGGACUGAGACACGGCCCAGACUCCUACGGGAGGCAGCAGUAGGGAAUCUUCGGCAAUGGACGAAAGUCUGACCGAGCAACGCCGCGUGAGUGAAGAAGGUCUUCGGAUCGUAAAGCUCUGUUGUAAGAGAAGAACGGGUGUGAGAGUGGAAAGUUCACACUG